rnacentral:lncRNA from 1 species
UGGCUUUUUCCUUACGGUGUCCCCUGAAUCUAUUCAGCUUGUUGCUGAGCAUGCUGCUGCAAAUAACAAGGUAAGGUUCAGAACAGAAAAGUUCCCUGUGAAGUGGCGGUCGCCAGUGUUUGUAAUCGACCAUUUUGUUUCCAGGUUUUCUUGAUGAACCUCUCCGCUCCCUUUAUCUGUGAGUUUUUCCGUGAUGCCCAAGAGAAGGUUCUUCCGUAAGUUUACCUGCUCCUCUGUGAUGCUAAAUGUUUUGGACAUUAUUUGAGAUACUGUACAUGAGCUUAACUCAAAAUGCAUAAGCAAUGUCAAGAGAUGUUCCCAUGUUUGCCACAUCCUAAUCUUUCAGCCUGUUAAAGUUUGGUAGUUUAUAGAGAUUUUGGGUCAUUUGGUUAAGACAUGUUUUGUGACCACUUCAGGUAUUCUGACUACAUCUUUGGAAAUGAAACCGAGGCAAGGAUCUUCUCUAAAGUCCGAGGGUGGGAGGUAAUCACUCAAUCCUUGUAAAAUGAUUUUAUUUGCUUAUUGUGCUGCUGAAAAAUUACAUGUAAUUUUGUAGACUGAGAAUGUCGAGGAGAUCGCUUUGAAGAUCUCACAACUGCCUCUGGCUUCUGGAAAACAAAAGAGGAUUGCUGUGAUUACUCAGGGUGCUGAUCCAGUAGUUGUGGCUGAGGAUGGGAAGGUAUAUAUUUUUUUUCAGUUUGAUGCAUGUCAGUUGCAUUAUAGGCUCAUCCUUUAUUCAUACAUAUUUAGUUAUAGCAACCUGCUGGUAUGCAACUGCUUGUUUGAAAGUAAAUAACCUAUAUAUUUCUGUUGGAUUUUGUCCAAUUAUAGGCUGUGGGACAAAAAUAGGAAAAUUGCAUAUUUUAAGGAUAGCUAAUUCUUUCCUUUGACAAUAAAUCUGCCGUUGUGGGCAUAUUUGCAAAGCAAUCUGUUUUUGUCACAGUUGUUUGCUUAUUCAAAUGUCACAUCAAAAUUUUGAUUCAUCACAGAACGGGCACUUAAAACUUCAUGUAGAAUUUAGUUGAGUCAAUCUAUGUGAAGAUAAUAUGCGAAACCUAAAUAUUAUUAUGUUUUUGAAUAGGUAAAAACAUUCCCUGUGAUCCUAUUGCCCAAGGAGAAGCUUGUUGACACCAAUGGCGCUGGUAUGCUUUUUCUUUUGUAUAAUGAGUUGAUUUAAUCUUUCUGUUGCUUCAGAACUAGCCACUGUUAUAAGGACACUGCUUAAAAAGUUGCUUUCAUUACAUAUUAUUAAAUAUUGAAAAAGCUCAUGUAAAUCUAAUAGUCCCUCCGAUCCAUGUCGCUGAUUUAGUACAUUUUACUAAAAUGAUGUUAUGUAUUUAUCAAAACAAUCUUGACGUAAGCUAAUUAACUAAAUUCUCAUGAUAAUAUAAAAAAGGAACAUCUGCACCAGUUGUUGAUGGCACUAAUUGAUCAAAUGUAUAAUUGAGCUGUUUCAGUUGUGCAAGAAAUGCCACUAUAUUUUGAGUCACAAUUCUAAGAAGAGUCUCCUCCCGGAUAUUCAUCUGUAGCAGUAUCUAGCUGCACAAUUACCUGAUAUUGAGAAUUCAGCAUUCAUGACAAUCUGAGACAGAUGCAUGCUUGGUGAACAUAUUCAUUAAAAUUGCUGCAGAAACAGCAGUCUGAUUUGUAAUUUGGAUACCGGGUGUCAGUUACGAUUUUGCUGCUGCCCCUGACUUGUUACACCCCGUUUCUUAUUAGGUGAUGCGUUUGUUGGCGGCUUCCUCUCUCAGUUGGUUCAAGGGAAGAGCAUCGAGGACUGCGUAAAGGCCGGUUGCUACGCAGCAAACGUUAUCAUCCAGCAAUCUGGCUGCACUUACCCUGAGAAGCCUGACUUCAACUAGACCAAAUUCAGCGAUUCUACGGAAAGCAACACUUAACCGCUUGAUGGUUCGGCUUGUUCUCCCUGUAUUAUUUUGAGGCUUUCCAUCUGAUCCGGCCUAAUUUUCGGCCGUGGAUAUCUGUUGUACUGCUAUAAUCGGUACCUUUAUCUUUGGUAUAAGGCAUGGUUGCCAUUAUAUGGGGUGUUACUUGUGGCCGUCUUAUCCAAGUAUAUGCCGAAGCGUGGUCAGACCGACGAUAGUGCUUGAAGGCAGUGGAAUUUUAUGGACGUGUUUGUUUUGUGAGAAGUAUGGCAUAGUGUGGCUAAUGGUAUGUCUGUCAGUGAACCAAGGGCAUUAUUUGCCUGUCGUGGCUAGAAAUAGUGCAGUGCGAAUGUAAGUUGCUCCUUGUGACAAACUGCGUGUUCAGAUCAAGAAGCCCCUGCUGCCUGCUACAAGGACAGGUUCCAACUAUAUAUAGUUCGCUGUGCUAGGUUUGUUUCCCUUAUGACAAACAUCGUGUGUGCUUAAC